AAUAUGUAAAGCUUAAGCUAUAGCUAGUUAAGCAAGCAAAAGCAAGAAAGCAAGCUUGCUCUUAUAAGUUCGUACAAAGGGGACUCUAGCUAGUGCCACUGUUACAUACAUGUACUCAUAUAAUUACCUACCUCUCUUCCUUGUCUUCUCUCUCUCUCACUUUGUUUUAUCUAGGGCACUCGUAGCCUGGCUAGCUAGCGAGCUAUACAUAUGCAUAAUGCAUCAUUGCAUCUGUAAUAAGUUGUGACCAGACUUUGAACACAGAAGACUGACAAGCUUGUUUGCCAAUGGCCUUGGGAUUCAAGUAAUAGUCUAGUUCAUAUUUUUGAUCCUAUAAGCAUGUGUUCAUUGUGUAUUUUAUCGUCUAGCUAUUCAGAUAUCUUGCCCCAUUACAUAUAUAGAAUUUUAAAGAGAAACAUAAAAAUCUGUGUAUGGCAAUGUUCUAAAAAACGCCGUCCAGAGCCGCCUAGACGCUAGGCGUCAGCCCACCAUUUCGAUUUCCCACUAAUCGUUCAAUCUGGUCGCCAGCGCGAAAAACGGCCGUCUAGGCGGGCUGGGCGGCUCCUAGGCGGUGCCUGGGCGGCCCGAUUAGGUUUUUUUUUUUUUGAAUCAAAACACAUUAAAGCCUAAUUUGUUUAUUUCAAAUUAUUUUUGUUAUUUCUAAGAACAUAGUAGUUGACCAUUUUAUUUAUUUUUGAUAUAUAUUUUCUAUUUUGGAACAUUAUAAUGCAUUUUAUAAAUUUAUUUUUAUAUUUUAUUUGCUAUUAAAAAAUAAAAAAUACGGAAAAUACAAAACCGCCUAGGUGUCCGAUUAAUCCUCUAGGCACUAGGCCGUCUAGGCACCGGCUAUCCGACCGACUAGCGCCUAGCGUUUUUUAGAACAUUGGUGUAUGGCCUCACCAACAUGCAUGAUUCUUGGAAUAUCUGAUGCAGAACAAGGUGACGAACCAUACAACGAUUAAUACUGAACUCAACUCUUGAUAAUAUUUUAGGUUGAGAAUGAAUAUGAAUCAGACCAUGGAUCGGAGGACUGUUGAACCACUUGUCCAUUCUUCCUACGACAAUUAAUAACAAAGGAAUAUUGGAAGAGUGUCUAAGCCUUGUAUAGAGUAUAAGAAACAACAAAAAGAUAUAUGGAAUGAUCAUGGGAACCGAAUGACAGCGUUCACCGACACUACGCAUUUGAUCGACGAUACCGCCAAGAACCAAGUCGUGAAAAUGACGGUAAGAUUCUCAAAUAUAUAUAUAUAUAUAUAUAUAUAUAUAUAUAUAUAUUUUUUAAAGAUUUUCUUAUGCCUUAAUCGUUUAGGUAAUUGCUUAGUGCUAAUGAGUCUGCUGGGUUUGUGAAAACAAUGGUGCAAAACCCUAAAACCCAGGUAUUGUUUAUGCUCAAUUUCAUUUGGUUUCAAAGAUACCAUCUUUAUGAUUCUACAUCUUCAUAUUGGUUGAUUCUACAUCUUUAUGACUUUAUACCAUCUUUAUAGUGUUCUGAGUUCACUGUGUUCGGCUAAUUUUGGCUAAUUUGAUGUUUUACUGUAUGAGGUGUUGGAUGCUUAAGUUUUACAAGAGACUGUUCUUGAAUAAAUUUUCAUGGUUUAUGGUUAUAGGGUUUGUAAUAUUGUGCUGUUGCUUUUUGGUGUUUCGAGUUUACAUAUGUAUCUAAUUUUAAAUGAUAUAAAAUUGCUCUUUUGUUGUGAAUAAUCAAUUAUAAACUAGUAGUUUGUUCUAAUAUCUCAUUCAUAAUAUAUUGUAGGUAAAACUCAACUAUAG
rnacentral:lncRNA from 1 species